GAACCACAGAACUGCAGUGGGACUCAUGAGCUUUAAUCCUGCAUUUUCACUUUUAAAAGGGACAGGAUCAUGUCUGCAGGGCAUGAGUUAAUGGGAUUGUCAUUGAUAUAAGAGAAAGGCACGGAAGUGCUCCUUGAUUACAUAUGCAGCAGCGAGGAAUUCCUCUUCCUAUCUUUUGGGUGGCAGAUGCUGAGAACAAAUAUUCAGCGAGAAUUAUGAAGGUCUGGAAAUGAAAAGGGCUAGGUUUGGAAUGGCAACAUGCUCAUGUAAUCUGUUCUCGGUGGCAGGAAAAGAACAUUCAAGAUGCUUAUCAGAACAGUGAACAGCCAUAGAGAAAUAUGAAGAGGAACAUUUAUAUUCAUUAAGAACAUAAUUGAUUGCAAGCUCCAGUCAAGAGAUACAAAAUCAGGGGAUCAUUUGGGAGUAAAAAAAUGAAGCACCUUUUUCCACUAAAGUAUGUUUUGGUGCAUUGUUGAUUUCUUUAUGACUGCAAUGUGCAUGUUUCUUUUUGCUUCCAGUGCAAGAAAAUAAACAAAAGUAAAAAUAUAGGGAAAGUAAUUACUGUUUAUGAAAAUUCUCAACUACUUGUGUGUAUAACUUCAAUUCUCUGAUUUGUAUUAAAAUAUUAAUUUAUUUUAAAUAUAUUAUAGAUGAUGAUACAUAAUAUGUAGGAAAUAGUUACACAAAUGGAGUAAUCUAGUUUUAAUAACAGUGAUGUCCACAUUUAUUUCAGAGAAUGUUUGGAGUAAUCAGCAGGUUGAUUAGCGAUUAUGGAGAAAAAGGGCAAUAGAAUUCACUGGAACUUGAUUGUGCUUUAGUGAACUUGUCUCUGUCAUUGCAUUUAAAUCUACCUGUGUGAAAAACAAAAUUGCAAAAAUAGCUACACUCCAGGAUGCCCUUGGCUAAUGCUAUGGGAUAUG